rnacentral:lncRNA from 1 species
AUGGCCUCCAUCUCCCGGCUUACCUGCAUCUCCUCGGACCUCAUUCUGCACAACGAUGAAGUGACCGUCACGGAGGAUAAGAUCGAUGCCCUCAUUAAAGCAGGCGGUGUAAAUGUUGAACUGUUUUGGCCUAGCUUGUUGGCAAAGGCCCUGGCCAGCGUCAACAUUGGGAGCCUCAUCUGCAAUGUAGGAGCUGGUGGACCUGCUCCAGUAGCUGGUGCUGCUCCAGCUGAGGAAGAAAGUGGAAGCAAAGAAAGAAGAAUCCGAGGAUCUGAUGAUGACAUGGGCUUUGGGUUUUUGACU